rnacentral:rRNA from 1 species
AGACGGGAGAGUAACACGUGGGAACGUGCCCUUUGGUUCGGAACAACACAGGGAAACUUGUGCUAAUACCCGGAUAAGUCCGUAAGGAGAAAGAUUUAUCGCCAAAGGAUCGGCCCGCGUCUGAUUAGCUUGUUGGUGAGGUAACGGUCACCAAGGCGACGAUCAGUAGCUGGUCUGAGAGGAUGAUCAGACUCACUGGGACUGAGACACGGCCCAGACUCCUACGGGAGGCAGCAGUGGGGAACUAUUGGACAAUGGGCGGCAAAGCCUGAUCCAGCCAUGCCGCGUGGAUAUGAAAGGACCUAGGGUUGUAAAAGGUCCUUUCGACGGGGAAGACGACUGUGACGGUACCACGGUAG